GAGAUUUCAGAAUGCUUAACGUGGGGUGUUUCUCUAAUUUCCUGUGCCUCCUUUUCCUCAGAGAUGAGAAGCUCUGAUUGCUUCACCUCCUUUGACAGAGUCAUCUGUCUUGAUCAGAAGCAAAACAGAAAAUGGCUGAGCAGCCAAAACUACUUCGUAGACCUCUGCCUCCUAAGCCGCCAUCUAAACUAUCUACACCAAGGGAGAAGGCAAGGUUUCUGGACGAUAUCUAAGUAGAGUGAUGAAGAGUACAAGUGAUGGAAAUAGAAGAGCAGUGUCUGGAGGUUAUGUCAGUGCUCAAGGGCAAGUCAAGCAGAAGGAUGCUUCCCUCAGCCAUGGUCAGAUUUCCCAGAGUCCGCUGCAAAUCCAACACCAAGAUACAUUUCUGUCUGUUCAUCGGAUUUACCAUGAUCAAACGCAAGUCCGACUUAAAGAUCUUUUUCAGACUCAGUUCCUACCUGGCAGUACCCAACCCCAGUCUGAACGCAUUUCUUCUUGCCCAAUACAUUUCCAACGCAGACAUGUAUGUCAGCUUAAGCAAGAUAGUAACCAUGGGCAAAUAGAGAUCCAGCCCAAAACUACAGGUUUGCAUGACCAAAAGAAAUUCCAUGACCACUAUGAAAUUAUUCCUGUCUAUGCAAGCAGCCAAAUGCCAAACCAAAGCAAAGAGGAAAACGUAUUUUCUGUCCAAACUCCUAGGAGAAAUUUUAGUACCACUAAAAAUCUCAGUGUCCCUGAUAACUUUGCCUUUUGCAAAAAAUCAUAAAUCCUCUCAUGUGAAGCACCAAGAAUUACAGCGCACUGGCCCCAACCAUUUCACUCCUCCUGUAUUUACACAGGAAAGUCUAGCUGCAGGUUCAUCCUUCCACCAUCUGCCUUUGAAGACAACACUCAAAAAGCCACUUGUUUCCCACUACAACUGUGAAGUCCUCAGUAGCAAGUUAAUGACUGAAAUCAGGAGCUUGCAGACUGAAGUUAACACAGUGAUGUUAUCUGAUAUCGAUUUACCAGUAGUUGAAACAAGAAAGCCUGAGCA